UACGUAGGGGGCAAGCGUUGUCCGGAUUUAUUGGGCGUAAAGAGCUCGUAGGCGGUUCGAUAAGUCGGACGUGAAAUCUCCACGCUCAACGUGGAGGGGCCGUUCGAUACUGUCGUGACUCGAGUCCGGUAGGGGAGUGUGGAAUUCCCGGUGUAGCGGUGAAAUGCGCAGAGAUCGGGAGGAACACCCGUAGCGAAGGCGGCACUCUGGGCCGGUACUGACGCUGAGGUGCGAAAGCGUGGGGAGCAAACAGG
rnacentral:rRNA from 1 species